rnacentral:rRNA from 1 species
CCGCCCAGAGGUAAACGGGUGGAUCCGCAAAGUCGGUCCGCGGAAUUCAGCGCGGCGCGCGGUCCGGGGCUGCCGCUGUUCGGGAUCCUCUGGGAACCAGCAGCGGUGCCGAGCCGGACCCCGCCGCGUGCACUUUCCGCGGGCAGAGAGCCACAACCGGUUUGGUGGGCGGUCACAAGCCCGGAGGGUUGUCGGUGGGGGCGCUUGCGUCCCUACCAGCCCCCCGCGGCGAGUCGCCGCCGGACCGAGGAACCGCCGCGCGCUUCGAGGCCACCCUCCCUUCCGGGUGAGUUCGACUGGGAGAGACUGGGCAACCGUGUCUCCCGACCGCUCACUCGCGACUGGCGCGGGGCUGGCCGGGCGAGCACUUGGGUUGGUGGCAAGUCUGUCGGCAUUCCACCCGACCCGUCUUGAAA